UAGUGAGAGGAGAGAAAUCACAAUCUGAAAGGAGACGAUGAAAAUGUAGAAGAGACUAUAAUAUGGGAAAUUUACAUGGUAUACUAACUUUUGUUAUUUUUUUACAAAAAUACUGUCAGGCGGAAUUUUUUACUUUUUUACUGUAUUUUUUUAUAAGUUUCAUACUGCAGUAUACUGUGUUAAGUUUUCACUAGUGUUCUACUAUUGUUUUGAGUUGUUAUGCUUUGUGUUUUACUGGUGUUUUAUAAAAACACAGUAUUUUUGAUAAGAUUUCCGUGUGACAGUAUUUUUGUAAAAAUUAACCCAAAUUUUAAUAUUUUUGUAAGUUUCCACUAUAAUAUUUUAUUUUAAGUUUUCUCCUUUAAAAAAAAAGUUUUCGGAAAAAGAACUUUUAUCCAUAUUUAAACAUUUAUUAAAAUCCCAUACUACACGUUAGUUUCCUCUUUCCUCUUUAGGGAAUACUACGGGCCUGCCGUAGGCCCAAUAUGGCCCAAUAUAUCCCGGCCCAGAAAGCUGAAAGUGAAGCUCAGGAGAUAAACGAUGAUAAUAAUAAGGGAUUGGUGUUGUUAAGGAUAUAUUCUCGUUUCGUGUAUGACUAUGAUUAGCGAGCGAGUUUCUUUCUAUAAUUUUAUUCACUCUCCACUCUUCUCCUUCCCCAAAUUUCGUUCAUCGCUUCAUCUCCUAUUUGGGGUUCUUCUUCUUUAAUAAUAAUAAUUAAUAAUAUUAACUGGGUUUGACCAAAAAUGGCGUCUUUUUAAAGCCAUCAUCGUCCCUUUGGUUCUUAUUCUUCAUCAAAUGAAGUUUUAUCCAACACCCAUUUCUAGAUUUGUCUUUGGUGAUUAGGUACCUUCAUUGUUCUGCUGUUGAUUACAUUGGUCAAUGUUGGUGUUGUGUGUGUAUUAUUUUGUGUCUUUGAGGACCUCUUUUUCAACUAAUGACUUGAUUAGGUAUUGUGUACUGACAAAGUUCAUGGAGAACAAGGUGAAUAAUAUCUUAUGAUAAAGGCAAAGAUUUGAAUUUUUAAUGAUUUUAGAGCUUGAACAUAUAUGAUCAAUCUUCAUUUUCAAUAAAAAGAAAACAGAGAAGGUUAAUAGUUGAGGUGAGUGAGAUGGUUGAAGAGGAGAAAUAAUUGGUAAGGGAGUUGAUACCUCCUAUCCCAUUGCAUAUUAGAAUAAAUAUUUUGAAUUGAAUUUACCAACAAUUAUCUAAUUUCAAACAAAACUUUAUAUGUAUAUAGUGUAUUUACAUCAUAAAAAUGUGAAUGGUUUAUAUAAAGGUUAAAUUUUAUUUUGAA